CCACACACACACUUCUAUGGAGAAUUUUGAAUUAGCAGUUAACCUAACACGCAUGUGUUUGGACGGUGGGUGAAGCCAGAGAACCCGGAGAGAAC